UAAACUUUGCCUCCCUAUUCCCUUCCAAGC
rnacentral:piRNA from 1 species